UUCAUGUAUUUUCAAUUAUUUCCCAAUCAACGAAUUUGCACUUCAUUUCUGGCCCUUACUAUUACAAGGGGUGCUACCCUGAAUGUUUUUAUAUAUAACAGAAUUUUGCCUUUGCCAGCCUUAGUGAUUUAUUCCUAGUAGUGGGACUCCUGAAUAAAAAGGCAUGCAGAGUUUAGUCACUUUUCUUGCAUAUUUUCAAAUUGACAACUGGAAUAGUUGGACAAUUUCAUAGUUCCAUUAAUAGUAUAUUAAUGUGCCUAUCAUGAAUGAAUGAUGGAGGAGAAAGGGAAAGGAAUAAGUAUUUAAGUAGCAUGCAUUAUGUGCCAGGCAUUAUACCUAAUGUUUUUAUAAUAAUUUUCUUACUUAUUUCUCAUAAGAAUCCUUUGUGGCAGGUGCUACUAUUAUCCUCAUUUUACAGGCGAAUAAGUUGAGUUGAAGAGAAGUUGUCACUUGCCCAAGGGUCAGAGGCUGAACUUUUAUUCAGGUAUUCCUGACUCUAGGUCCAGCUCUCUAAUUCAUUUGAAACCAGCUGCCUUAAACUAAAACUCAUUUUAUUAAGUUUUUUAAUAAGAGGUAUAGAGUUAAUCACUGAGACACAAAUUCAAAAAGACAGUCUAUACCCUUCAACGAGAUUACAUUCUAAGAGGAGUAAAUAGGUAUGAUGAUGUGAUGGCUGAGCAGCAGUGAUUUGAUCAGGGAAGAUUCAGAAAUAAAUUAUAGAAGAUUUGACUGAGAGUUGUCUUGUCCAGGAAGGGUUGUGCUUAUUUGACUGUAAUCCUCAGAGGUAGAAGAAGAAACUAAGAUUGGUGAGGAAAAAAUACAUACAAUUCCAGAGAACAGAAAGACAGCCAUGAAGGACCCAGGACAGUAACUGGAGUGCAGAUUAAAAUGGAGAGUAGAGAAUCACAACACAGAGAGUCUGAUUGUCCCCAGUAUUUUUUUGUCUUUUCUAGUUUGUAAAGUCUGAAUGGAAGCCCUAAAAUUGUUUUCACAUGCUUCUUUUUUAACAACAGCAGCCAUUUAUAUGACACUUUAAAAUUCCCCUUGGCCUUUAUUGACCUCUCACUUGGUCCUCACAUGUGAGGUAAAUUCUAAAGACCUUAUUAUCUUCAUUUCACAGAGGAAGAAACUGAAUAUCUGGACACAAAGGUAGAAGGUGUAAGAAGAAGGAUAUGCACCUAAGGCUUCCUGAAUCCAAGGCCAUCAUACAAGGACAUAUGCAAAACUGCUUUUCAUUUAGGAAAACAAAAAUAUCUAUAUGAAAAAAUGAAAGGAAAGAAAAGUGACCACUACAGUGACAGAAUUGGGAACUCUACAAUCCUAGACUUGAAUCAAGAUUCUCUGGUACUCUAAUACCACGUUCUUUUACCAGCUGGACAUUUAAAAAUGACCAACAAUUAAGGUUCCUUGGGAGAGAGAAAUAGCAAGUAAGGAGGUCGAUGGUCCUGAAGGACAUUCAGAAACAAUGUGUGUAACUAUGUAUGUGUGAGGAGGAGGUGGUCAGUUUCUGAAAAGGGAUGCUUUGAUAGUGAAAAUAAAAUACAGGUGGCAUAAGGGAGAACCUGAAGACAUCAUUAGACAUCCAUACUUCUUACAAAGAAUAAUUAAUGCAAUCUCUUAGAAAUUCUGUUGGACUCAUUUUAGAAAAAAAAUUUAAUCCCUUCCCCAUUAAAUCUUUUACUAAGCUCCUAAUAGCUAGAUACACCAAUAUUUCUUCUUCCAAAGAACAGAAAUAUGAACAAAACUAAACUGAUACAAAACAAUAAAAAAAUGGCAAACAGUUGCUAAAAUUUUACCUGGAAAAAUAUGCAGGAUAUACAGACAUAGAUGAAGAUUGGAGGCUGGACAUUUGAUUUUACAGGUUUAAGGGUCUCUCAGAAAGAGAUGCAGAGAGCUACCUGCUGUGAAACCCACAUUCUUGGAGAGUUGCCUAAAACUCUUAAGGGGUUCCUGCCACAUCUCUAGGUCAGUAUGUAUUAGAGGGAGAACCUGAAUGCAGGCCCUUCUGUUCACUAAAGCCAGUGCUCUUUCCAAUACUACAUCAUGCUGGCAGUCAUUAAUGCUCAAAUAACAAAAUCAAUAGUGAUAGAGUUAAUUUUCUCUGGAAGUUGUUAGUUUCUCCUUUUCUUAAAAAGAGAUGAAUGCCUUUUAAAAAUGAGCUUGUAGCACUUUAGAUUUCUCUUUGUUGUCCACAAGGGAAAAAAAGAUACAUAUCUAUACAUAUAUAUUUAGAUAUAUACACACAUUUAUAAAAAGCCAAAUGUUGAAGCUCACUUAAAAAAAAAAGCUCUGUAUUCUGAGUCAAAGGUCCUUAGUAUACAACCUGACUCUGUAAUUUGUGUAACUUUGGCAAGUCACUUCCUUUCUCUUGGUCCCUAUUUUCUCAUAUGCAAAAUGAGGAGACAGGGCCUUAGUAGUUUAUACAUCUCUUCCAUCCUAUAAAUCCUCCAAAAACUACUUUCAAUGUUCCAACAAUGUCUCCUCUGGUUUAUUGGAACAGUAAACAAUCCCUGUAGAGAGAGGCAUGGAGAGGUCAUCGUUCUACCAUUGAACCUCUUCGUGACCAGUAGGUGAACCCCUUGAACUCUUUAUGCUACAACUCUUUGGAUUUUUCUUUUUCAUUUUCAGAAUGCAAUGGGUUUUUUAUUGCUUAGGGGUCUGAUGGACAGUAAUGAGAUGACAUUAGUAAAAGGUUUUAAGCUUGAAGCUGAAUGAUCUGUAAAAACAAACAACUAUUUCCAGAUGAGGCACCCAUUCUUUGAAAGCACCCUGCAUAUCCCACGUGAUUCAGAUCCUUCUAAAUUGAAGAGGUCAUUUGAGGAUAAAGGAUGCCAGUGUUCCUAAUUCCUUAAUUGUAAGGAAAGAAAUCAAAAGUUUCAGCCUUUUCCCUUGUAGGACACAGGGAUUUAUCUCCAUAUAAAUUAAAUGAUUCCCACUGGAAGCAAAUGAAAGAGGAAGAUUUUUGACAAGUCUGUUUUAAAAUAGGAUGGUACUUUUGGUAGGGAGUGCAGCAAGCAAAGACCUAACUGCUUGCCCUUCAUGAAGAAAUCUGAAGUCGCUCUUUUAUUCCUAUUGGCAUUUUAGUGAGCAGCCAUGCGCUCAGACCCAAACUGGAGGUCACAAUUUGUUUUGAAUUUGAGAUGGAAAAACAGAUAUCAGAUAUUGCCUGGGGCUUUAUGUGGGAUGCCUUUUUCAUAUCUGAAUGAGAUUAAGCAGUC